UACGGGGGGUGCGAGCGUUGUCCGGAAUCACUGGGCGUAAAGGGCGCGUAGGUGGUUUGAUAAGGGUGUGGUGAAAGUCCGGGGCUCAACCCCGGAUCUGCCGUGCCGACUGUCAAACUCGAGGACUGUAGAGGCAGACGGAAUUCCGGGUGUAGCGGUGGAAUGCGUAGAGAUCCGGAGGAAGACCGGUGGCGAAGGCGGCUAUCUGGACAGAGUCUGACGCUGAGGCGCGAAAGCUAGGGGAGCAAACAGG
rnacentral:rRNA from 1 species